UUUUGCAUUGGCUUUGCGCGCCAUGAUGCUAUUGCCGACGGCAUGCAAAAGGUGAGUUUUACCCAAGCCGGUGCCGCCAUA
rnacentral:antisense_RNA from 1 species